UACGAAGGUGGCAAGCGUUACUCGGAAUUACUAGGCGUAAAGGGCAGGUAGGCGGUUCGGUAAGUCUGUUGUGUAAGCUCCCGGCUUAACUGGGAGAGGUCAACGGAAACUACCGGGCUUGAGUAUAGGAGAGGUUACUGGAAUUCCCGGUGUAGCGGUGAAAUGCGCAGAGAUCGGGAGGAACACCAAUGGCGAAAGCAGGUAACUGGACUAUUACUGACGCUCAGCUGCGAAAGCUAGGGGAGCAAACAGG
rnacentral:rRNA from 1 species